UGCUGGGAUUACAGGCAUGAGCCACUGUGCCCAGCCCAUUUGUCUAUUUUUAUAUGAGUACCACACGUUUAAUUAUUUUGCUAAAUAAUAGAUUUUAAUAGCUAAAUUUUUUAGAAAUGAUAAAAUUAGAAUCAGUCUUCCUUCACAACUUACCUGGUUGCACUUUUUAACCACAUCUGGCCCAGGUGUGGCAUUGAGAAGAGCUAUAAUAAGGUAACGAUUUAGCAGCUUCCCUAGUCCUAGUUCUUGCAAGGUGUCAUCUGUAAGGAGUCCAUUCCAAAGAAGAAUAUUGCGGAAGAGCUAAAAUAAAAUAUCAAGUAAAUAUGUACCUUUUCUCCAAAGAGAAACUGUAAUAGUCUCUAACAAACAUAAAGAGUUGGUCAAACUAAAAUUCUCACUACAAUUAGCCCUGUUGGAACUGUCAAUUUUAGAAUACAAUAUCUCUCAAUAAAUACUUGAUUCUUUCCAAA
rnacentral:sRNA from 1 species